rnacentral:rRNA from 1 species
GACGAACCGUACGAACGUUGUUCGGAAUCACUGGGCUUAAAGGGUGCGUAGGCUGCGCGGAAAGUUGGGUGUGAAAUCCCUCGGCUCAACCGAGGAACUGCGCCCAAAACUGCCGUGCUCGAGGGAGACAGAGGUGAGCGGAACUUAGGGUGGAGCGGUGAAAUGCGUUGAUAUCCUAAGGAACACCGGUGGCGAAAGCGGCUCACUGGGUCUCUUCUGACGCUGAGGCACGAAAGCUAGGGUAGCGAACGGG